AUGUGGCCAACUGGUACCCGGUGAUGUCAUCUGAGGGAUGUAGGAAGAAGAAGGCGCUGCCAUCUGUGGAUCAAAAGGUGGUGGCAUCUGUGCACGUCUAGUGAUGACAUCUGCGGAAUAUGCGGUGAUGGCAUAUGUGGAACAUAUGGGGACGGCGUAUAUCUCAUAUCUGGCCAUCGGCUGCUCCAUACCAAGGCACACAGCUAUAUGGGUCAACACCAAACGCCACCAAUGUUUCAAAACUUGUUCUCUGUAUCUCACGUAGUAUCCGAAUCCGUUCAUCCUUAUCAGUCGUAAAUAAAGCACGAUGAGCGUCCAACACA
rnacentral:lncRNA from 1 species